UUUCCGUAGGUGAACCUGCGGAAGGAUCAUCACUGAGUUUUGACUGAAGUGGUUCUAGUCUUUCGCUGUAAGUGAACGCUUCUCUCAAUCCAUCUUACACCUGUGUACCCAUCGGGGAAGACUUGGAUCUAAGUUGGGUCACGACGGCGAUCUACAGUCGCCUCUUUAUACCAAAUAACAGUUUUAGAAAGUCUUGUUUGCUUGCUGCAAACUUAAAUAAAUACAACUUUCAGCAACGGAUCUCUUGGCUCUC
rnacentral:misc_RNA from 1 species